CUGAAAAAAAGAAAACCCUAGAAUCCAUCCUUAAUUAGACAAGGAAAAGAAGAAGAUGAUGCGCAUCCUAGGCAACAGUUUUGCUAAGUUUGGUCGCAUGGGGGGGAGGUUGCAGAGUCGUAACUUUUCAUCCGCCAGUGGGACAGCUGUCAACGCUGAUGUUCGUAGAUAUUUGGCUCGAGCGGUGGCAGGUGGUAUUGGAUACAUGAUCUGUGGUUUGAUAUUAUCAGAACCCGUCACAAAGCAAGCUAUGA